UCGUGGUGGCAGAUUUAAAGCCCAAGCGCUGUGGUUAGGCGCUCCAGCUGAGACCAGACCUAAUUUAUGCAAGGAAAGGCUGCUGUAUGCACAGCUAUCUAGGUGGCUCUGCCUUUUCAUCUUUGGACUUCGUCCCAAUCAGAGCGGAUGCCGCUUUCUGAUCAGGUUAUUUGAGGGGCUGUGAGAGUGUCCUCCUUCCCCUUUAUCCUCUUUUCAAUCCAUAUCUAUGGCAAACAUCAGACUGUCUCUACUGACAAUAGGCAUUUUUGCUUACUAUUGACAGUUUGCAUAUGUGUUUCCACAUGUGCUUUCCUGAUUUUUCAGAUUUAUUCCAUUAAUGGCUUAAAAUCCUGCUGUGGUUCUCCUGAACUAUUCUGUUUUCCCUGAGGACUCUGGUUCCUUCCUGUAUGGUCUGCUGUCUUUUGCUGUUUUACCUUUUUGCAUUGUAUGUCUGAAAGCUCCUGAAGAAACUCGUCGGAGU